rnacentral:rRNA from 1 species
GACAGAGGGUGCUAGCGUUGUUCGGAAUUACUGGGCGUAAAGGGCGCGUAGGCGGUCUGUUAAGUUCGGUGUGAAAUCCCCUGGCUCAACUGGGGAACUGCGCUGGAAACUGGCAGACUCGAGUACCGGAGAGGAGAGUGGAAUUCCUGGUGUAGCGGUGAAAUGCGCAGAUAUCAGGAAGAACACCAAUGGCGAAGGCAGCUCUCUGGGACGGUACUGACGCUGAGACGCGAAAGCGUGGGGAGCGAACAGG